rnacentral:misc_RNA from 1 species
UCACAGUUUGCACUGGCAGUCUUGUUAGAGUUCCCGACUUGACUCGCUGGCAACUAACAACAGGGGUUGCGCUCGUUAUAGGACUUAACCUGACACCUCACGGCACGAGCUGACGACAACCAUGCAGCACCUUGUAAAUUGUCCGAAGAAAAGUCUGUUUCCAAACCUGUCAAUCUACAUUUAAGCCUUGGUAAGGUUCCUCGCGUAUCAUCGAAUUAAACCACAUGCUCCACCGCUUGUGCGGGCCCCCGUCAAUUCCUUUGAGUUUCAGGCUUGCGCCCGUACUCCCCAGGUGGGAUACUUAUCACUUUCGCUUAGCCACUCAGGUUGCCCCGAACAGCUAGUAUCCAUCGUUUACGGCGUGGACUAC